UGGGGAAUAUUGCACAAUGGGCGCAAGCCUGAUGCAGCCAUGCCGCGUGUGUGAAGAAGGCCUUCGGGUUGUAAAGCACUUUCAGCGGGGAGGAAGGCGUUAAGGUUAAUAAACUUGGCGAUUGACGUUACCCGCAGAAGAAGCACCGGCUAACUCCGUGCCAGCAGCCGCGGUAAUACGGAGGGUGCAAGCGUUAAUCGGAAUUACUGGGCGUAAAGCGCACGCAGGCGGUCUGUCAAGUCGGAUGUGAAAUCCCCGGGCUCAACCUGGGAACUGCAUUCGAAACUGGCAGGCUAGAGUCUUGUAGAGGGGGGUAGAAUUCCAGGUGUAGCGGUGAAAUGCGUAGAGAUCUGGAGGAAUACCGGUGGCGAAGGCGGCCCCCUGGACAAAGACUGACGCUCAGGUGCGAAAGCGUGGGGAGCAAACAGG
rnacentral:rRNA from 1 species